AACAAACGCUGGCGGCAGGCCUAACACAUGCAAGUCGAACGCCCUAGCAAUAGGGAGUGGCAGACGGGUGAGUAACACGUGGGAACCUUCCCUAUAGUACGGAAUAGCUCAGGGAAACUUGAAGUAAUACCGUAUACGCCCGAGAGGGGAAAGAUUUAUCGCUAUAGGAUGGGCCCGCGUCGGAUUAGCUAGUUGGUGAGGUAAUGGCUCACCAAGGCGACGAUCCGUAGCUGGUUUGAGAGAACGACCAGCCACACUGGGACUGAGACACGGCCCAGACUCCUACGGGAGGCAGCAGUGGGGAAUAUUGGACAAUGGGCGCAAGCCUGAUCCAGCCAUGCCGCGUGAGUGAUGAAGGCCUUAGGGUUGUAAAGCUCUUUUAGCAGGGAAGAUAAUGACUGUGCCUGCAGAAUAAGCUCCGGCUAACUUCGUGUCCAGCAGCCGCGGUAAU
rnacentral:rRNA from 1 species